CCUCCCACCAAAAUCAAUCGCGUGAUUUCCUCCCAACCCCCACCACGCGAUUUUCUGAUUUCCUCCGCCUUCAUCGCCGCCUCCUUCCCACUCCGCCACUCCGGGUGGUGCCUCCCUCACAUCGGCUCCUGUGGCCGCUCCCGUCUUCGCCGCCGCCGCCCGCCGGUGCCUCCCUCCACCACCACCUGGGCCCCGCCUCCUUGCCAUUCACGAACAGGAGUUUCGGCAGGUUCGUGCGGGCGCCGUCACGCCGCCACAUAUCGAGACUCGCUGUCCGUUCGCCGGGUAGCCCGCCUCCUCCACGGCCGUCCAGUCUGCCGCCCUCAACGCCGAUCGCGCCGUCCAGUCCGCCCGCACCCUCUGCCGCCAUCUUCAAAAGUAGCCCUGCCGCCGCCACGAGAUCCAGGCGAGCAUGAUGGAAGACGUGGAUGCGGCUCCAGUGGUUGAUUGGGUGGCAACGAGGAUGAACCGCAGCUGACUGCACCCAUGCACAACCGCAACCAACUAGCUAAAGGGAUGUUGGGGCUUUGGUCCUUGAGAUCAUGCAUAUUGCAAGAGAAACCUAAUCUGAGUUUCAAAAGUGGAUGGUGCAGCUGUUCCGUUUGAUUGCAAAAUGCCCGAAUAGCUUUGACUUUCAAGUGUUUGGGGUCAAGUCUGUAGUUUGCAAGGAGUGAACCUCAUUGUCCGUUCGUUGGGGAGACCUCCUCCUCCACCGCUGUCCAGUCCGCUGCCCCCAGUUCGCACGUUCGAGGGGGAACAUUGAUUUGUUCUUUAGAAAUUCAAUAAAUAGGCAUUCGUACAUGUGGCAUCCGAUGGUUAUAUGCUAUGGUCAUUUUUCAUUAAAUGUUGACUCAACUUUGUGGUAUGUUUUCAGUUUCAUUUAGCCAUUAAACUCUGGAGGAACUACAGAAUAAACUUGUAGAUGCAGAGGCCAGAAUGGAUUUGUAAGAGGCAAUGGAUUUUAGUAUUCAGUAAUCUUUGAUUUCAGGUAAAUUAAAGAUCAUUGCACAAUCAAGAAAUAUAUUUUGUGAAUGUUUGCAAUAA